GAUGAACGCUGGCGGCGUGCCUAAUACAUGCAAGUCGAACGCUUCACUUCGGUGAAGAGUGGCGAACGGGUGAGUAAUACAUAAGUAACCUGGCAUCUACAGGGGGAUAACUGAUGGAAACGUCAGCUAAGACCGCAUAGGUGUAGAGAUCGCAUGAACUCUAUAUGAAAAGUGCUACGGGACUGGUAGAUGAUGGACUUAUGGCGCAUUAGCUUGUUGGUAGGGUAACGGCCUACCAAGGCGACGAUGCGUAGCCGACCUGAGAGGGUGACCGGCCACACUGGGACUGAGACACGGCCCAGACUCCUACGGGAGGCAGCAGUAGGGAAUUUUCGGCAAUGGGGGAAACCCUGACCGAGCAACGCCGCGUGAAGGAAGAAGUAAUUCGUUAUGUAAACUUCUGUCAUAGAGGAAGAACGGUGGAUAUAGGGAAUGAUAUCCAAGUGACGGUACUCUAUAAAAAAGCCACGGCUAACUACGUG
rnacentral:rRNA from 1 species